rnacentral:rRNA from 1 species
AGUGAACGCUGGCGGUAGGCCUAACACAUGCAAGUCGAACGGCAGCACAGUAAGAGCUUGCUCUUACGGGUGGCGAGUGGCGGACGGGUGAGGAAUACAUCGGAAUCUACUUUUUCGUGGGGGAUAACGUAGGGAAACUUACGCUAAUACCGCAUACGACCUACGGGUGAAAGCAGGGGAUCUUCGGACCUUGCGCGAUUGAAUGAGCCGAUGUCGGAUUAGCUAGUUGGCGGGGUAAAGGCCCACCAAGGCGACGAUCCGUAGCUGGUCUGAGAGGAUGGUCAGCCACACUGGAACUGAGACACGGUCCAGACUCCGACGGGAGGCAGCAGUGGGGAAUAUUGGACAAUGGGCGAAAGCCUGAUCCAGCCAUACCGCGUGGGUGAAGAAGGCCUUCGGGUUGUAAAGCCCUUUUGUUGGGAAAGAAAAGCAGCAGGUUAAUACCCCGCUGUUCUGACGGUACCCAAAGAAUAAGCACCGGCUAACUUCGUG